CCUACGGGUGGCAGCAGUGAGGAAUAUUGGUCAAUGGACGAGAGCCUGAACCAGCCAAGUAGCGUGAAGGAUGACUGCUCUAUGGUUUGUAAACUUCUUUUAUAUGGGAAUAAAAUGAUCCACGUGUUGGUUUUUGUAUGUACCAUAUGAAUAAGCAUCGGCUAACUCCGUGCCAGCAGCCGCGGUAAUACGGAGGAUUCGAGCGUUAUCCGGAUUUAUUGGGUUUAAAGGGUGCGUAGGUGGAUAGUUAAGUCAGUUGUGAAAGUUUGUGGCUCAACCGUAAAAUUGCAGUUGAAACUGGCAGACUUGAGUAUAGUAGAGGUGGGCGGAAUGCGUGGUGUAGCGGUGAAAUGCUUAGAUAUCACGAAGAACUCCGAUUGCGAAGGCAGCUCACUAAACUGCAACUGACACUGAAGCUCGAAAGUGUGGGGAUCAAACAGGAUUAGAUACCCGGGUAGUC
rnacentral:rRNA from 1 species